rnacentral:rRNA from 1 species
GGCCUAACACAUGCAAGUCGAGGGGCAGCACAAUGCGUAGCAAUACAAGUGGUGGCGACCGGCGCACGGGUGAGUAACACGUAUGCAACCUACCUGUAAGAGGGGAAUAACCCGGAGAAAUUCGGACUAAUACCGCAUAAUACUGCGAAGCCGCAUGGCUUUGCAUUUAAACAUUUAUGGCUUACAGAUGGGCAUGCGUAUGAUUAGCUAGUUGGUGAGGUAACGGCUCACCAAGGCAACGAUCAUUAGGGGUUCUGAGAGGAAGGUCCCCCACACUGGUACUGAGACACGGACCAGACUCCUACGGGAGGCAGCAGUGAGGAAUAUUGGUCAAUGGGCGAGAGCCUGAACCAGCCAAGUCGCGUGAAGGAAGAAGGUUCUAUGGAUUGUAAACUUCUUUUGUAAGGGAAUAAAAAGUGGUACGUGUACCAUAUUGUAUGUACUUUACGAAUAAGGAUCGGCUAACUCCGUGCCAGCAGCCGCGGUAAU